rnacentral:misc_RNA from 1 species
UACGUAGGGGGCAAGCGUUGUCCGGAAUUAUUGGGCGUAAAGAGCUCGUAGGCGGUCCACUAAGUCGGAAGUGAAAGCUCAAGGCUCAACCUUGAAAUUGCUUUCGAUACUGGUGGACUUGAGGCAGGUAGGGGAGAGUGGAAUUCCUGGUGUAGCGGUGAAAUGCGCAGAUAUCAGGAGGAACACCAGUGGCGAAGGCGGCUCUCUGGGCCUGUUCUGACGCUGAGGAGCGAAAGCGUGGGGAGCAAACAGG